AUUUGGCAAAUCAGAUGGCUCUUAUUACAAAAGCCUUUGAAACACACUGUCCCUUCCACCCUGUACUGUCUGCUGGGGACCAGGGUACUUGAAAACAGACACCUGAAGAGAAAAAAGAGAGCCAGUGCAGUUUCCAUAGGAGCUUAAGGAGCUGUCAAGUUUAUCCCAGAUAUUGGUGAGCAGGGGACAGCUAAGCAGUCCUAUUGCCUACUGCACGAUGUGCCUUGACUGCAAAACCCAUUAACUUCUGGCCAGAGAAGCAGCAGUAAAACCCCUCAGAGCUCUCACUGUACAAGUCUACUUGUAGAUGAAGAGUUUAGGUUGUUUUUCCCUGGUUCCCAUUUUUCUCUGGUGAGACGGCGGAAAAACAGUGCUCCAUGGAAACCAACUCUCCUGGCAUUGGACAAAGAGCAGCAGAUCUCCUGAGCAGAAAUGACCCAAGCAGAAGUGUAUCCAGACUAGCACAGUGAUUAUUAAGAACAAACCCAGCACAUUACCUGUAAAACAGGGUUUUAGAAGGCAAGUGGAAGGCAGCUGAAGUGGCAGCAGCAUGGCAUUUGAGGUGGCUGGAGAAAGGAGGCAGUGAGCGGAAGAAUAGCUUUGUGAGAAGGCAGCAGGCUUGAAGACAAGGGCAGGGCACAACAGCAAGAAUAUGCACAGGAACAGAUCAGAAGAGACCAGAAAACAUCCUGUGGCUGUGGUGAAGGGAAGUAGCUACUGUCUUAACACUGACUUUCAAAAAACCGGCAGCAGCUGCGAUUUCUCACAGCACUUUUCAGAGGCAGCCCUACAAAGUCAGCUGUUAAUCCUAAAUCACAGUGUGAACAGCAAAUGAGAUGCUGGAGUGCAUCUUUUCCAAUGUGCUGCUUUACGUCUGGGCUGAAAAUGCAGAGCCGGAGUGGAAGAUCCUUUCCACAUGCUGCAGCAUCCAUAAGCAGGCUCUGGGCAGCUGGGAAGGAGACCCAGCUGUUCCACAAGACAUCUCUGAAGGGGCUGAUAACCAAUAUUCCUGGCACACAGGAGACACGGAUCCCUGGUCUUAAUUUCAGGGAAGCCAAGACCAGAAGACCAGCAGUGAGGGUCAGCAUUAAUACCCUAUGCAAGUCAUCAGGACCAGCUCUGAACUCGGCAGUUCUUCUAAGACAUGUGUCUGUUCAUCUGCCUUCCUCAUUCCCAGCGAGCACCCAAAGGACACAUUAAAUAUAACCUCAGACUCUGGUACAGAAAUACAUCACGAAACAUGACCCUCAGGUUUUGGUAGCAGCAGAGGUGCAGGGGUGGCUUCUGUGAAGACAGCAGGAACUGUCCCUGUGGCAGACAGAACCAGUUCCAGCAGGAUGUAGAAAAGAUCUGCCACUGGUCAAAGCUGAGCCACAGCUCUCCAGAUGUGGCAUCACCAGCGUGGAGUAAAGGGGAAGGACCUUUAAACUUUGCUACCACUCUAAACAAAGUGGCUUCCUCAAAUACUGUAAGAAACAGAGCUAUUCCUGUCCACUAGCCCAUCAGACCAGCCCAUGAGGGAGAUGCCUGGUGACUGGAGGGAGGCAGAAGAACUGAAGCUAAAUACAAUGAUCUAACUGAAGAGACCUCAGUGCAUUUCAGUAGGCAUAGGCUUAGGCAGAAAGACUUCUCAACCCUGGGCUCAGAUCUGUAAUAAUUUCCUGACAAAGAAAUCACAGAAAUAUUUUAUAGGAAGUGCCAUCAAGAACUCAUCUAGUUCACUUCCUUACUAUCCCAGAUUUUUCCCGGAGCUCCUGUUUCCCCAGAGUCAGCUGGAUGUUCGCAGCAUUUUGAGGUGAAGGCUUGGCUGGAGAGUUCGAACAGUACAUGGGGAAACAACUGUGGUGCAAGCUGUGUGUAAUGAGGGAUGGGCACAGCUGCAGCCAGGCUGGGAGCAGCUGCUUCCACAGGCUCGCAGAAUCCUUUGGGUCCAGCAU